rnacentral:rRNA from 1 species
CCUACGGGUGGCAGCAGUGAGGAAUAUUGGUCAAUGGACGAGAGUCUGAACCAGCCAAGUAGCGUGAAGGAUGACUGCCCUAUGGGUUGUAAACUUCUUUUAUAUGGGAAUAAAAUGUUCCACGUGUGGGAUUUUGUAUGUACCAUAUGAAUAAGGAUCGGCUAAAUCCGUGCCAGCAGCCGCGGUAAUACGGAGGAUCCGAGCGUUAUCCGGAUUUAUUGGGUUUAAAGGGAGCGUAGGUGGAUUGUUAAGUCAGUUGUGAAAGUUUGCGGCUCAACCGUAAAAUUGCAGUUGAAACUGGCAGUCUUGAGGACAGUAGAGGUGGGCGGAAUUCGUGGUGUAGCGGUGAAAUGCUUAGAUAUCACGAAGAACUCCGAUUGCGAAGGCAGUUCACUGGACUGCAACUGACACUGAGGCUCGAAAGUGUGGGUAUCAAACAGGAUUAGAUACCCUAGUAGUC